UACGUAGGGGGCUAGCGUUGUCCGGAAUCAUUGGGCGUAAAGCGCGUGUAGGCGGCCCGGUAAGUCCGCUGUGAAAGUCGGGGGCUCAACCCUCGGAUGCCGGUGGAUACUGUCGGGCUUGAGUGCGGAAGAGGCGAGUGGAAUUCCUGGUGUAGCGGUGAAAUGCGCAGAUAUCGGAAGGAACACCUGUGGCGAAAGCGGCUCACUGGACCAUUACUGACGCUGAGGCACGAAAGCUAGGGGAGCAAACAGG
rnacentral:rRNA from 1 species